UACGUAGGCAGCGAGCGUUGUUCGGAGUUACUGGGAGUAAAGGGUGUGUAGGCGGUUGUUUAAGUUUGGGGGUAAAUCUCCCGGCUCAACUGGGAGGGUGCGCCGAAUACUGAAUGACUAGAGUGUGGGAGAGGAAAGUGGAAUUCCUGGUGUAGCGGUGAAAUGCGUAGAUAUCAGGAGGAACACCGGUGGUGUAGACGGCUUUCUGGACCAUAACUGACGCUGAGACACGAAAGCGUGGGUAGCAAACAGG
rnacentral:rRNA from 1 species